AUUGUUAAGGGUGCGGAGUGCGGAGCAUCACGUGCGCCAUCUAUUGUACAAUGGACGGCUGCAUGUAGUCGCACACGCGCACGUACGGUCGCAUGCGCCAUCCAUCAUGCAAUGGAUGGCGCACGCAGUGUAAUACACAGUGCGGUGCACUGUAGAGGAUCUGUGCGCGAUUGUUAAAUGAUACUUAAACCAUGAGGUAGAAUCAAUUUACCUAUGACUUUUUUCGGAAACAAUAGACCUACACAUAAUAUGAGAAUGGAGAGCUGCCAAA
rnacentral:lncRNA from 1 species